rnacentral:rRNA from 1 species
UAGCGAGACUGCCGGUAAUAAACCGGAGGAAGUGGGAGUGACGUCAAUCAUCAUGCCCCUUACUGACCUGGGCGUACACACGUGCUACAAUGGUUGGUACAACGAGUUGCGAGUCGGUGACGGCGAGCUAAUCUCUUAAAGACCAAUCUCAGUUCGGAUUGUAGGCUGCAACUCGCCUACAUGAAGUCGGAAUCGCUAGUAAUCGCGGAUCAGCACGCCGCGGUGAAUACGUUCCCGGGCCUU